AAGUCGGAAUUGCUAGUAAUCGCGGAUCAGCAUGCCGCGGUGAAUACGUUCCCGGGCCUUGUACACACCGCCCGUCACACCACGAAAGUUGGUAACACCCGAAGCCGGUGGCCUAACCCUUAGGGGAGGGAGCUGUCGAAGGUGGGACUGAUGAUUGGGGUGAAGUCGUAACAAGGUACC
rnacentral:rRNA from 1 species